rnacentral:rRNA from 1 species
UACGAAGGGGGCUAGCGUUGCUCGGAUUCAUUGGGCGUAAAGGGUGCGUAGGUGGCGUGGUAAGUCGGGUGUGAAAUUUCGGAGCUUAACUCCGAAACUGCAUUCGAUACUGCUGUGCUUGAGGACUGGAGAGGAGACUGGAAUUUACGGUGUAGCAGUGAAAUGCGUAGAGAUCGUAAGGAAGACCAGUGGCGAAGGCGGGUCUCUGGACAGUUCCUGACACUGAGGCACGAAGGCCAGGGGAGCAAACGGG